CAGUAACACGUAGGAACGUACCCUCAAGUCUGGUAUAGCUCGCCGAAAGGCGGGGUAAUCCCAGAUGGUCUCGCAAGAGUAAAGUUUUUCGCUUGAGGAUCGGCCUGCGGGCUAUCAGCUAGUUGGUGGGGUAAUGGCCUACCAAGGCGAUGACGGCUAGGGGGAGUGAGAGCUUGGCCCCCGACGAUGGAACUGCGACACGGUCCAUACACCUACGGGUGGCAGCAGUCGAGAGUCUUCCGCAAUGGGCGAAAGCCUGACGGAGCGACGCCGCGUGAAGGAUGAAGUCCCUCGGGACGUAAACUUCUUUUAAUUGGGAUAAAUUUCGUGAUCGUACCAAUUGAAUAAGGGGUUGCUAACUCGUGCCAGCAGCAGCGGUAAGACGAGUACCCCGAGCGUUGUCCGGAAUUACUGGGCGUAAAGGGUGUGUAGGGGUCUCGCCGCAUCUUCAGUUAAAACCCAUGGCUCAACUGUGGGCCUGCUGAAGAGAUGGGCGGGAUUUUGAGAGUGCGAGAGGUAAGUGGAACUCACGGUGUAGGGUGAAAUCCGUUGAUGUCGUGGGGAACACCAAAGGCGAAGGCAACUUACUGGCGCAUUUCUGACCCUGAAACACGAAAGCGUGGGGAUCAAAAAGGAUUAGAUACCCUUGUAGUCCACGCCCUAAACGAUGUUCACUAGCUUUUCCAAGUAUCGACCCUUGGAGAGGCGAAGCUAACGCGUUAAGUGAACCGCCUGGGAAGUACGAACGCAAGUUUAAAACUCAAAGGAAUAGACGGGGACUUGCACAAGCGGUGGAUCAUGCGGUUUAAUUCGACGUGAACGAAGAACCUCACCAGGGCUUGAAAUCCAGACGACGUCGCGCCGAAAGGCGAGACUCUUUCACAAGAAGCGGCUGGACAGGUGCUGCAUGGCUGUUGUCAGUUCGUGAUUUGAAUUGUUCCCUUAAGUGGGGUAACGAACGCAACCCUUAUUGCCUGUUAUAAGUGUCAGGCAAGACUGCCUCGUUAUACGGGGAGGAAGGAGAGGAUGACAUCAAGUCAGCAUGGCCUCUAUGCCCUGGGCUACACGCAUGAUACAUGGCCGGUACAUGGGACGCGAAACCGAAAGGCGGAGCAACCCCAUCAAAGCCGUCCCAUUCGGAUAGAGGUCU
rnacentral:rRNA from 1 species